AAGAGCUCAAAGUUGGAAUCCGGUUGCCCUAGGUAAUUGGAAUUGUAAACUGGAGAGGUGUUUUCCAGGCGAGCCAAGCAAAUAAGUCCUUUGGAACAGGGCAUCAUAGAGGGUGAGAAUCCCGUCUUUGGCUUGAGCAUUGCCUUUUGCGAUACACUUUCAAAGAGUCAGGUUGUUUGGGAAUGCAGCCUAAAUUGGGUGGUAAAUCUCACCUAAAGCUAAAUAUUGGCGAGAGACCGAUAGCGAACAAGUACCGUGAGGGAAAGAUGAAAAGAACUUUGAAAAGAGAGUUAAACAGUAUGUGAAAUUGUUGAAAGGGAACCGUUUGGAGCCAGACCGGCUGCUCUAUAAUCAAUCUCUGCUUCGGUAGGGAUGCACUUGUAGGGCUUUAGCCUGCCAACAGCAAUUUUCUUUGGUGGAAAAAACUAGAAGGAAUGUGGCCCCUCGGGGUGUUAUAGCCUUUUAGAAAAUACCCUGAAGGGGAUUGAGGACUGCAGCAAAUGCUUUUGGCGAAAUAACUAGGUGCUUGUGUUAAGGACGUAUAGAAUCUCUGCUUCGGGUGGUGCUAUGCUCUGCGAUGCAACUCGCUUAGAC
rnacentral:rRNA from 1 species